ACGAAGCUAAUGAUGUAACUGAUGAAGACGUGAACCAACUUUUCAUGAUAUCCAAGCCACUUUGUCAAGGCUGCCGUGUCAACACUCGUGACAACCCCAACUGUUUCUGCGGUCUUGUUCCUCCGCCUAACGGAAGCCGUAAGUCUGGUCUCUGGCAGAAGACUUCCGAGAUCAUCCAGGCUCUUGGUCCUGAUCUCUCCUCCGAGCUUCGUGAUUCUGACUCUACGCCGGCUGGUUUAACCAAUCUGGGAGCUACUUGCUAUGCUAAUAGUAUACUCCAGUGUUUGUACAUGAACACUGCGUUCCGGGAAGGAGUUUUCUCUGUCGAAGUUGAUGUCUUGAAGCAGUAUCCUGUCUUGGAUCAGAUUGCGAGGCUUUUCGCCCAGCUGUAUGCUAGCAAAAAGUCUUUUGUCGAUUCUGAUGCUUUUGUGAAGACGCUCGAGUUGGAUAAUGGGAUUCCCCCAACUGUUUCUGCGGUCUUGUUCCUCCGCCUAACGGAAGCCGUAAGUCUGGUCUCUGGCAGAAGACUUCCGAGAUCAUACAAGCUCUUGGUCCUGAUCUCUCCUCGGAGCUUCGUGAUUCUGACUCUACGCCGGCUGGUUUAACCAAUCUCGGAGCUACUUGCUAUGCUAAUAGUAUACUCCAGUGUUUGUACAUGAACACUGCGUUCCGUGAAGGAGUUUUCUCUGUCGAGG
rnacentral:lncRNA from 1 species